rnacentral:rRNA from 1 species
GGCCGCGAAUUCGCCCUUAGAGUUUGAUCAUGGCUCAGGACGAACGCUGGCGGCGUGCCUAAUACAUGCAAGUGGAACGCGUACCGACAAAGUGAGUCUUCGGACGAUCUGCGUCAUUUGUACGAGUCGCGAACGGGUGAGUAACGCGUGGGUAACCUGCCUUUUAGCGGGGGACAACAGUUGGAAACGACUGCUAAUACCGCAUAACAAUGGUUAAGUCAUCUUAAUCAUUUGAAAGGUGCAACUGCACCGCUAAGAGAUGGACCCGCGUUGGAUUAGCUAGUUGGUAGGGUAAAAGCCUACCAAGGCGACGAUCCAUAGCCGACCUGAGAGGGUGAUCGGCCACACUGGGACUGAGACACGGCCCAGACUCCUACGGGAGGCAGCAGUAGGGAAUCUUCGGCAAUGGGGGGAACCCUGACCGAGCAACGCCGCGUGAGUGAAGAAGGUUUUCGGAUCGUAAAACUCUGUUGUGAGAGAAGAACGGCAAGGAGAGUGGAAAGCUCUUUGUGUGACGGUAUCUCACCAGAAAGGGACGGCUAACUACGUGCCAGCGGCCGCGGUAAUACGUAGGUCCCGAGCGUUGUCCGGAUUUAUUGGGCGUAAAGCGAGCGCA